rnacentral:rRNA from 1 species
UGGGGAAUAUUGCACAAUGGGCGCAAGCCUGAUGCAGCGACGCCGCGUGAGGGAUGACGGCCUUCGGGUUGUAAACCUCUGUUAGCAGGGAAGAAGAGAAAUUGACGGUACCUGCAGAGAAAGCGCCGGCUAACUACGUGCCAGCAGCCGCGGUAAUACGUAGGGCGCGAGCGUUGUCCGGAAUUAUUGGGCGUAAAGAGCUUGUAGGCGGUUUGUCGCGUCUGCUGUGAAAGGCCGGGGCUUAACCCCGUGUAUUGCAGUGGGUACGGGCAGACUAGAGUGCAGUAGGGGAGACUGGAACUCCUGGUGUAGCGGUGGAAUGCGCAGAUAUCAGGAAGAACACCGAUGGCGAAGGCAGGUCUCUGGGCUGUAACUGACGCUGAGAAGCGAAAGCAUGGGGAGCGAACAGGAUUAGAUACUCUGGUAGUCCAUGCCGUAAACGUUGGGCACUAGGUGUGGGGGACAUUCCACGUUUUCCGCGCCGUAGCUAACGCAUUAAGUGCCCCGCCUGGGGAGUACGGCCGCAAGGCUA